AUGUGUGUUUUUAUGAAACUGAGUUAGAGUGGGGAGCACACAUUGCACCCUGUAGUAUAUAAUACACAAAUUGCUGGCAUGAUUCAUGAGGCCAAAACAGAGACCUACUUAGUAGUAAAUUUUUGAAGGCGAUUCUAAUAAAGAUGUCUGCUGGGUAUUUGAAUUAUUUUCCUUCCAUGUAGAAGUCAUUGAGUCACAUGCAUACAAAAAAGUAUGAAAUUUAUGGUGUUGACUAGAGAUCAAUAUAGCCAAUUUCAUUUUCUGAAGUUACAUGAAAAAUGUGUGACAUUUAGAUACACGUUAACCCACUUGAUCAAUAUGGAAUCAUAUUGAACAUGGACUAUUUGUUGUUGGGUGGAGUUUGUGACAAAUUCAUUCCAGUUUCAUA
rnacentral:misc_RNA from 1 species